UAUUGGGCAAUGGGCGCAAGCCUGACCCAGCAACGCCGCGUGAAGGAAGAAGGCUUUCGGGUNGUAAACUUCUUUUAAGAGGGAANNGCNNNANACGGUACCUCUUGAAUAAGCCACGGCUAACUACGUGNNNGNCNCCGCGGUAAUACGUAGGUGGCAAGCGUUGUCCGGAUUUACUGGGUGUAAAGGGCGUGCAGCCGGGAAGACAAGUCGGAUGUGAAAGCCCGCGGCUGACCCGCGGAACUGCAUUUGAAACUGUUUUUCUUGAGUACCGGAGAGGUCAUCGGAAUUCCUUGUGUAGCGGUGAAAUGCGUAGAUAUAAGGAAGAACACCAGUGGCGAAGGCGGAUGACUGGACGGCAGCUGACGGUGAGGCGCGAAAGCGUGGGGAGCAAACAGG
rnacentral:rRNA from 1 species